rnacentral:rRNA from 1 species
UACGUAGGGGGCAAGCGUUGUCCGGAUUUAUUGGGCGUAAAGAGCGUGUAGGCGGCCAGAUAGGUCCGUUGUGAAAACUGGAGGCUUAACCUCCAGCUGUCGAUGGUAACCAUCUGACUAGAGUUCGGCAGGGGAGACUGGAAUUCCUGGUGUAGCGGUGAAAUGCGCAGAUAUCAGGAGGAACACCGGUGGCGAAGGCGGGUCUCUGGGCCGAUACUGACGCUGAGGAGCGAAAGCGUGGGGAGCGAACAGG